GACGAACGCUGGCGGCGUGCUUAACACAUGCAAGUCGAACGGAAAGGCCCUGCUUUUGUGGGGUGCUCGAGUGGCGAACGGGUGAGUAACACGUGAGUAACCUGCCCUUGACUUUGGGAUAACUUCAGGAAACUGGGGCUAAUACCGGAUAGGAGCUCUUGCUGCACGGUGGGGGUUGGAAAGUUUCGGCGGUUGGGGAUGGAUUCGCGGCUUAUCAGCUUGUUGGUGAGGUAGUGGCUUACAAAGGCUUCGACGGGUAGCCGGCCUGAGAGGGUGACCGGCCACAUUGGGACUGAGAUACGGACCAGACUCCUACGGGAGGCAGCAGUGGGGAAUAUUGCGCAAUGGGCGGAAGCCUGAUGCAGCAAUGCCGCGUGCGGGAUGACGGCCUUCGGGUUGUAAACCGCUUUCGCCUGUGACGAAGCGUGAGUGACGGUAAUGGGUAAGGAAGCACCGGCUAACUACGUG
rnacentral:rRNA from 1 species